rfam:Capsella rubella cultivar Monte Gargano unplaced genomic scaffold scaffold_1, whole genome shotgun sequence.
UAGCAGGAGCCUCCCGGGCUGAUCUGAUUACAAAAUAAGUACUUGAGGAACUUAGCCCCAAAGCUCCUGCUAUAUUGUUUUUUUGCCGUUUGUGUUGCAGAUUCGUCCUAUUCCUUAGGCUCUUCUGUGUCAAAAAAGCGGCUAUACCU